rnacentral:rRNA from 1 species
UACGUAGGGUGCGAGCGUUAAUCGGAAUUACUGGGCGUAAAGCGUGCGCAGGCGGUUUUGUAAGCCAGAUGUGAAAUCCCCGGGCUUAACCUGGGAAUGGCAUUUGGGACUGCAAGGCUUGAGUAUGGCAGAGGGGACUGGAAUUCCUGGUGUAGCAGUGAAAUGCGUAGAGAUGUGGAGGAAUACCGAUGGCGAAGGCAGCCCCCUGGGUCGACACUGACGCUCAUGCACGAAAGCGUGGGGAGCAAACAGGAUUAGAAACCCGUGUAGU